AAGAAAAACCCUAGGGCGUCAGCCGGCGUGUCGCUUCUCCUUCUCAUCCUCUCCCUUUCUCGCGACUCUCGCGCUAUCGCACAGCUCUUCGCCACACCGCCGCCGCCGCAACCACAUGUCCAUGCCGCCACACCGCCGCUUGCUAGUCCUAGCCGUCGCAUCCUCGCGCCUCGCCGCGUCCCUUGCCGGAGAAGCAAGAUGGCACCUGCCGGAGGAAAACGCCGCAUCCUAGCUUCUGGAUCCAUCCGACGGCAACAACAGAGACAUGAACAUUGAGUUCGCCACCGUUGCGUUUGCCAGGUCCACCAGAAUCUCAAUCUGCUGCAUCUGGAAGUGCAAGUGGAAGUCAUCAUGUGGGUGUGACUGCAUCAUCAUCCUAUUGUAUGCUGUAGCCACAUUAAUGUUGAAGUAUCGUUGAACUUUGUUUAUAUUGUUUGUCGACCUUAUUGUCAACUUAUUAAUCAUCA